GCCGGGAUAGCUCAGCUGGGAGAGCAACAGACUGAAGUGUGAUGUUUUCUGGAGGUCCCGUGUUCAAUCCACGGUCCUGGCA
rnacentral:tRNA from 2 species